rnacentral:siRNA from 1 species
AUAUUUUGCUUCAGUUUAGGAAAU